GCCCGAGGGGCUCAGUUGGUUAAGCAUCCGACUUUGGCUCAGGUCACGCUCUCGCGGUUCGUGAGUUCGAGCCUCACAUCGGGCU
rnacentral:tRNA from 1 species